rnacentral:rRNA from 1 species
UACGACUACAUAUCAGGCAUAUCAAUAAGCGGAGGAAAAGAAACUAACAAGGAUUCCCCUUAGUAACGGCGAGUGAAGCGGGAAGAGCUCAAAUUUGAAAUCUUAAAGGGUUUCCCUUUACGAAUUGUAGUUUAAAGAAGUGUUUUCUGUUGGAGUUUCGGUAAAAGUUCUUUGGAAUAGGGACAUCAUAGAGGGUGAGAAUCCCGUAUUUGACCGUUAUCAUUCUAGCUUUGUGAUACACUUUCAAAGAGUCGGAUUGUUUGGGAAUGCAGUCCAAAAUGGGUGGUAAAUUUCAUCUAAAGCUAAAUAUUGGCGAGAGACCGAUAGCGAACAAGUACCGUGAGGGAAAGAUGAAAAGAACUUUGAAAAGAGAGUUAAACAGUACGUGAAAUUGUCAAAAGGGAAGCGUUUGACACCAGUGUUGUUUAGUUGAAAAUCAAUUCAAUAGUUUUUGAUUCUAAGUAGUAUUGACUUCAUCAGCUUGCUGCUUUCUUCUCAGAAAUUAUUGAAUGCACUUUUCAGUUAACAAGUCAACAUCAAUUUCUUUUGUUGUAAAAGGGUAAGAGGAAGGUGGCUUGCGCUUCGGCUCAAGUGUUUAUAGCCUUUUAUCUCUGCAAUCGGAGAGAUUGAGGUCUGCAGCGUAGAUCCUUCGGGGUUAGAUACAUUGGUGCUAAGCUAUAGCCUUGUAUAGACAACUUGUUGACUAUGCUCAGUCAUGUAGCUUACUCGCUGAUGCUAUUUUACCUACGCUUAGGAUGUUGAGUAGCGACAUACGCAC